AUUCUUUUCUCUUUUUGUUUAUGUUUACAUUUUCUUCUCUCAAGUUGUUGUCUCCUUUUCUAAUUUUCUAUUAACCAUAAGUGCCUUUAAUUAAUUUUCCAAUUUUCGAAUUCGCUUGUUACCUUUUAUUCUUUUUUUUCUGUAGGUAAUAUUAACUUUCCUGGAAAUGGUGAGAAUUUAGUUCAACAGAAGAUGGUGUUUUUUUCUUCUCUCUCAAAAUCCUUGGCUCUCUUUAUUUAUUUCUCUAUCUUGUUGGCUUUUUAGCCUGAGGAAAGGAAAACAAAUUGUGCUCUCUAAACAAACCUGAAGAUUGUUUGAAGGAGAAGAUGAAACAAGACAAUUUCAGGUCACUAUACCGAGAUUUUUUUCGUAAACAACUAGUAAGUACCACCCAUAACCACCGGUUAUUAUAUUUUUCUUGGUCUCCAGCGCGUUGACAACAUCACUGAAAGAGAACCAUCAACUUUUUGGUAAUAUCAACAGCUAAUUGGAAAACUCAACAUGGUUAAACAUCAUAUUAAUACAUUGGAGAGAGAGAAAAAAACAUGAUGAAUGCAUAAUCAGGAUUAUUGCUUCUCACUCUUAUAACAGAAAACAUCUCAUGUUGUUCAAUUGGAAUCUAUUCAAUUUAACAUCUUCAAAGCUACUUUUCAACUUUAAUUUACCAACAUAAAAGCAACAACGCCACUUUUACCCUCACCACCGUUACCAUCACUAUCACCACCACCAUCAUCAUCAUCAUCGUCAUCGUCAUCAGGUUUAACAUUUCCAACAGAAGAGCUAAAAAAACAAGAAAAUUGUGACUACCGUAGUUAAUCAACAACAACCAGCAGAGAAUAACAAGAGAGCGAGAGAGAAGCGAGAAAGAUGAAUCUUUCGAAUCAAAAUGAAAGAGGGGGAAAUGUUUCUGAUGGAAACCAGAGAGAAGGAGAAAAGACAAGGAUUUAGAUGGGGAAAAAGGUGAAGAAUAUUUGAGAGUGAGAGUGAGAGAGGCUUGAGAAGACAAGAGAAAAAGAAGAGCGAAAAAUUAAUGAGAGAAUGACAGCAAAAGAGAAAGAGAGAAAAAAAGAAUUGGAGAUUAUGAAGGAAAAAAGCAGCACGGCAACUGCGAUCUUACACGCAGGAUGAUAAAAAGAAAUGAUGGGGAUGAUGAUGAGUAGAAUGAUGAUAAU